rnacentral:rRNA from 1 species
AACGAACGCUGGCGGCAUGCCUAACACAUGCAAGUCGAACGAGACCUUCGGGUCUAGUGGCGCACGGGUGCGUAACGCGUGGGAACCUGCCCUUAGGUUCGGACUAACUCCCCGAAAGGGGUGCUAAUACCGGUUAAUGUCUUCGGACCAAAGAUUUAUCGCCUUUGGAUGGGCCCGCGUUGGAUUAGCUAGUUGGUAGGGUAAAAGCCUACCAAGGCUACGAUCCAUAGCUGGUCUGGGAGGAGGUUCAGCCACACUGGGACUGAGACACGGCCCAGACUCCUACGGGAGGGAGCAGUGUGGAAUAUUGGCCAAUGGUCGGAAGCCUGAUCCAGCUAUGACGCGUGGGAUGUGAAUGCCUUAGGGUUGUAAAGCUGUUUUACCCGCGAUGAUAAUGACAGUACCGGGAGAAUAAGCUCCGGCUAACUCCGUG